ACGGUUUUCCUCCGUCACUGCGAUAUACCCUGUCCAGAAGAUUACGUGCGCACGCUUGUGCCCCCGCGUGCGGUGGAUGGCCAGAGGACGGUCGUAAAGUAAAAACGAUGCCCCGGCUAGCUUUCCUCGCGGCUGGCCCGGUCAGGUUGUCUCUUGAUUGCCGCGCGCAGCCGCAGUCAUCGAAAUCUCAGCGCGAGUGACUGCGGAGAGGAGGGUGAGGCAGCGGCAGCCAGAACGCAGUCAGAACACAACAUGAGCAGUGCAAGCAUGUACACCCUUCUCAUCGCUGCAUUUGUCGCCACUCUCAUCACGGCGGACUACUAUGAACCGGUAGCCAAAGAAGUACAUAUUGUCAAGCCUAACUUACCAC
rnacentral:lncRNA from 1 species